AUGGUGAUAGUGGUUUCCCUUGUCUCAUUCUUGCCUUUAAAAGGCAUGCUUCUAGUAUUUCCCUACCGUAUGAGCUCCUGGCUUUGGGCUAAGGCACAUUAAGAAAGUUUCUAUUUAUUCCCAUUUUAUUGAGUGUUUUUAGGAAGGAGUAGAGAAUUCCUAGGUCCAACUGAGCAUUGUUUGAUAAAAUGAGCAGUCAAGGAUGUACAGAAGAAAAUAAAGCUAACAAGUUAGUCACAUGGAUGCUGUCAGAAGACAUGAGGCUCCUGGAUCAGAGAAGAAGGAAAUUUAUUACUCAUAGCCAUAGCAAUAGCUAGAGUACAAGCAUUUUGGCAUCAGUUCUCUGAGCCUCUAUUCCCAUAGUAUGAUGUGAAUAGAACUAGAUAAUACCUAUAUACAUAGUAGGUUAUGUUAUGGAAGAGAAACCAUGAACUUAAGGAAAUCUGAAUAUUUUAUUAUGGACAAUAAGUAUAUCUUCCUUUUGCUCUAGAGGAAACAUUAUUUCUAUUUACCAAAGCUGUUCAUUGUACAAAUAUCCUUGAAAAGAUAGUCUAGAACAGAAGACAGUCAGCACCUCUGCUCACAAGAGGUACAGAAACAUGCAAGACCCAUGGAAAAUUGUCUCCUCACAUUUAUACCUUUUGAUAAUAACUUAUAUAUAUUCUGAUUAAUUAGUAAUAACUCACAUGUUCAGAUGAAGACAUGGCAAAACUUGAAAUUUUAAGCUCAACCUAGCACAUUUACAAAGUCAUCAGUCUGAAAUAAUCAGAAGUUGCCAUAUAGACAAGGAUUUGUGUGAAAGAGCCUAUGGUUAUUAAUAAUUAUAAAAUGACAUAUAUUCACUAAUAUUUGGCAGCAACUGGAUUGUGAUAUUAUGUCAGUUGUUAUGAAUCUUUUUCUGUCCUAUUGUCAUUCUUUUCAUACUGGGGAAAUUACUCUGCUGUUUUCCCAAAGUCAAUCUUGGAGUGAUGUGAGUAGCAGAGUGACAAGUCUGCAAGUCAGUUGAUAACUGCUGGAUAUGCACACAAGAUGAUGACAUAGGUGAUGCCUUACAAUGGGGAUACCCUCUCUGGGGGAAGCAAGACAUCAUGGGCCACAAAAUCCUUAUUACAAAUUAGAAUGAAGAUCAAGAAUUGCCUAUAGAAUUGAGAAAUUUUGAGGGGGCCAAAAGUGUAAGUUUAGCCUAACUAAAGUAGAAAUGCUAACAGAAGGAUUCUGGCAGACAUCAUACAGAGGCAGUUUGUCAUGAACACUGCUCAGCUUACUUUCUCAUAGAAUCCAGAAGUACUAAAAUAGUUUUUACUAAUAGCUCGUCAACCUGUUCCAGGGCAGACUGUGCCCAUGCUGGUCUUUUUGAUGGCUUCCAGCCAAUCAGCUUACCCAAAGAAAAGCAAAAACACACUGACCUCAGAUAGUCUGCAUGUUUUUUUCCAACUCUGUCUCUCUCUUUUAUAAAUUCUGUUUUUGCUAUUUUUUGUUGACAACUGUUUAAUGACUGACUCUCAUUUUAUGCAAGAAUAAAAUUUUUGUGUGAAUAUUAA